rnacentral:rRNA from 1 species
GACGAACGCUGGCGGCGUGCUUAACACAUGCAAGUCGAACGAAGAGCGAUGGAAGCUUGCUUCUAUCAAUCUUAGUGGCGAACGGGUGAGUAACGCGUAAUCAACCUGCCCUUCAGAGGGGGACAACAGUUGGAAACGACUGCUAAUACCGCAUACGAUCUAACCUCGGCAUCGAGGAAAGAUGAAAGGUGGCCUCUAUGUAUAAGCUAUCACUGAGGGAGGGGAUUGCGUCUGAUUAGCUAGUUGGAGGGGUAACGGCCCACCAAGGCGAUGAUCAGUAGCCGGUCUGAGAGGAUGAACGGCCACAUUGGGACUGAGACACGGCCCAGACUCCUACGGGAGGCAGCAGUGGGGAAUCUUCCGCAAUGGACGAAAGUCUGACGGAGCAACGCCGCGUGAGUGAUGACGGCCUUCGGGUUGUAAAGCUCUGUUAAUCGGGACGAAAGGCCUUCUUGCGAAUAGUGAGAAGGAUUGACGGUACCGGAAUAGAAAGCCACGGCUAACUACGUG